rnacentral:snRNA from 1 species
AAAUUUAACCCAUGGUAGGGAGUACCAUGACCACAGAGGUGGUUUUCCCAGGGUGAGGCUUAUUCAUUCCACUUGGGAUGUGCUGACCCCUGUGCUUUCCCCAAACGUGGGAAACUCAACUGCACAAUUUGUGGUAGUGAGGGACUGUGUUUGUGCUUUCCCUGG